rnacentral:rRNA from 1 species
AGUGAACGCUGGCGGUAGGCCUAACACAUGCAAGUCGAACGGCAGCACAGUAAGAGCUUGCUCUUACGGGUGGCGAGUGGCGGACGGGUGAGGAAUACAUCGGAAUCUACUUUUUCGUGGGGGAUAACGUAGGGAAACUUACGCUAAUACCGCAUACGACCUACGGGUGAAAGCAGGGGAUCUUCGGACCUUGCGCGAUUGAAUGAGCCGAUGUCGGAUUAGCUAGUUGGCGGGGUAAAGGCCCACCAAGGCGACGAUCCGUAGCUGGUCUGAGAGGAUGAUCAGCCACACUGGAACUGAGACACGGUCCAGACUCCUACGGGAGGCAGCAGUGGGGAAUAUUGGACAAAGGGCGCAAGCCUGGUCCAGCCAUACCGCGUGGGUGAAGAAGGCCUUCAGGUUGUAAAGCCCUUUUGUUGGGAAAGAAAAGCAGCAGGUUAAUACCCCGCUGUUCUGACGGUACCCAAAGAAUAAGCACCGGCUAACUUCGUG